AGUAUUGGACACUGGGGGCAACCCUCAUCCAGCCAUGCCGCGCGUGUGAAGAAGGGCCUCGGCUUGUAUAGCACUCUAAGUUGGGAGGCAGGGCUUUAGGCUAAUACCCUGAAGAUUAGACGUUACCAACAGAAUAAGCACCGCCUAACUAUGUGCGAGCCGCCGCGGUAAUACAGAGGGUGCAAGCGUUAGUCGGAAUUACUGGGCGUAAAGCGCGCGUAGGUGGUUCAGUAAGAUGGGUGUGAAAUCCCCGGGCUUAACCUGGGAACUGCUUUCAUAACUGUUGAGCUAGAGUACGGUAGAGGGUAGGGGAAUUUCCUGUGUAGCGGUGAAAUGCGUAGAUAUAGGAAGGAACACCAGUGGCGAAAGCGACUACCUGGACUGAUACUGACACUGAGGUGCGAAAGCGUGGGGAGCAAACAG
rnacentral:rRNA from 1 species